CGGAACUGAAGCAGCAGCUCAGAGUUUCUUGCUCUGAAGUGGCAGGAGCUAGAGAGGAGCCGAGUGUCUACCUGAGGAGCCGAGAGCCUAGAGCAAACGCUUGCGCGGUUAAAGAUGUGGAAGUCUGUAGUAGGUCAUGAUGUAUCUGUUUCCGUGGAGACCCAGGGUGAUGAUUGGGACACAGACCCUGACUUUGUGAAUGACAUCUCUGAGAAGGAACAACGGUGGGGAGCCAAGACCAUUGAGGGGUCUGGACGCACAGAGCACAUCAACAUUCACCAGCUGAGGAACAAAGUGUCAGAGGAGCAUGAUGUUCUCAAGAAGAAGGAGAUGGAAUCAGGGCCCAAAGCAUCCCACGGCUACGGAGGUCGGUUUGGGGUGGAAAGAGACCGAAUGGACAAGAGUGCUGUGGGCCAUGAGUAUGUUGCUGAGGUGGAGAAGCACUCUUCCCAGACUGAUGCUGCCAGAGGCUUUGGGGGCAAAUACGGAGUGGAGAAGGACAGGGCAGACAAGUCAGCUGUUGGCUUUGAUUACAAAGGAGAAGUGGAAAAACACGCAUCUCAGAAAGAUUACUCUCAUGGCUUCGGUGGCCGUUAUGGGAUAGAGGAGGACAAACGGGACAAGGCAGCUCUGGGAUAUGACUACAAGGGAGAGACAGAGAAACACGAAUCCCAAAGAGAUUAUGCCAAGGGCUUUGGUGGUCAGUAUGGCAUCCAAAAGGACCGAGUGGAUAAGAGCGCUGUUGGUUUCAAUGAAAUGGAGGCCCCAACCACAGCUUAUAAGAAGACAACACCCAUAGAGGCUGCUUCCAGUGGCGCCCGUGGGCUGAAGGCAAAAUUUGAAUCCAUGGCUGAGGAAAAGAGGAAGCAGGAGGAAGAGGAGAAGGCACAACAGAAAGCCAGGCAGCAACAGGAGAGAAAGGCCUUGGUAAAGAUGAGCCAUGAGGCUCAGCCACCAGUGGCCACUAUGGAAGAGCCGGUGGUGUCAGCCCCACUGCCCAAGAAAAUCUCCUCAGAGGCCUGGCCUCCAGCAGGGAGCUGUCUGUCAUCAGAGCGUGGGCCUGUGAGAACCAGUAGGGAACAACCAGUGCCUACCCAGCCCCCAAGGCAGAAUCCCCCAGAGGACAACGAGGAGCCCCCAGCUCUGCCCCCCAGGACUCCAGAAGGCUUCCAGAUGGAGGAAGAGCCAGUGUAUGAAGAAGCACCUGAGCCUGAGCCCGAGCCUGAACCAGAGAAUGACUAUGAGGAUGUUGGGGAAAUGGACAGACAUGAGCCAGAUGAGGAACCAAAGGGCGACUAUGAAGAUGUGCUCGAGCCUGAGGAUCCCUCUUUUUCCUCCACUCUGGCUGGAUCAUCAGGCUGCCCGGCUGGGGCUGGGGCUGGGAUCUCAGCUGUAGCCCUGUAUGAUUACCAAGGAGAGGGAAGUGAUGAGAUUUCCUUUGAUCCAGAUGACAUCAUCACUGACAUUGAGAUGGUGGAUGAGGGCUGGUGGCGGGGACGUUGCCACGGCCACUUUGGACUCUUCCCUGCAAAUUAUGUCACGCUCCUCCAGUAACUGUGGCUGUGUGUCUUCUGCACUGUGACUUCCCUUGUCCCAAGUGGCUCUGCCUCCACCCGCUUUCCAUUUCUACUGCAAGUGUCUGACAGGAUGUCAUGAGUUGCCUGAAGCUCUAGACAGACUGUCUCUCCCUCUCCAUUAGGGUUUGGGGCAGAGACAGCAUGAGGAAGGAGGUCUCCUUCCCCUCGGUGUCCUGUCUAUCCUGGAUACCCUAGAUGAUCUCAGGGAUGUUUAUCUUGUGUCCUGCCUCCUUCCCCAUGAAUCCCCCCUCUAGCACCCACCCCCACCCCCACUCUACCUUCCUUUGUUUGUGAACUCUGAGCUUCCUGGUUUGCUUACCUGGGAAGGUAUGUUUAUAUUUCCUGGUUGUGCUGUUUGCUCACUUUUCUUCUCUGCAGAAAUAUCUCUGAAUCUUUUCUCUGCUCAGUCCUAAAGUGGAAAUAAAGCGGGACCACGGCUCACCUCUAUUCUGAGGAGGACCAUCCCUCUCUCUUGUAACAAAGUGGCACAGAUAUUCCUCAUCAGCACGGACACCUGGGAGAGCUGGGAUAGGCUGAUGCUGUCUAAGAACCCAGCAAUGUACUGCAAAACCUCCAGGGGCAGGCUGGUUAGAGAAUUCUGGUUUUUUCCCUCAUGGCCUGAGAGAUGGUUGUUCCCUCCCUCACUCAGCUCUGAAGCAACCUCCGGCUUGAUGGCAAAGGUCUUGAGCUCCUGACUGUAGAUUACUUUUGCCUUUUUCCCUGGGGGACAGAAAUGGUUUUGAAUAAAGGUACAUCCCAAGUAGGCAAGGGGGCAUCGGUGCUGGAACCAACCAUUGAGACAUGACUGAAUGUCUGUGUGGACAUUCUUGAAAUGUAGGGGAAAUUCAUCCCUCCUGAAGAAUUUGUUGCAAGUGAAAGUAAAGGCAGAACUGCUCUUGUUGUGUCUCCUGGUCACACACUCACUGUGGAGCUCCAUAUGGAGCCCAUUCAGAUUGGCAGUGGUUAGAAGGUCAGCCAGCACCGUCCUGGAGGAAAAUUGUUCUGGCUCAAAACUGUAUGUCUGUGUAGCAAAAUCCAUGAACACCCCAUCAAUGCUCCUGGAUUCAGAGAUGACAUGACCUUUGAGUUCUCUUUCCAGAGCACACAGCAGGGUGGUCUUGAUGAGAUCUGAUUUGGGGAGGUCCUCCACAGUGAUCCCUAAAUCCAAAGUAUCUACUGCCUUGUGUUCACUUGGCCUACUACUCAACGAGGUGUCUCUGAGGUGAGCCCGCUUCCCGCAGUAGCUCAUGGGAACUUUGAAGGUGUAAACAGUCUUCACUUCCUGAGCCUCGAGUUUGCCAUAAACAAAGUCUCUCUCUUUAGGUGUACAAGCAGGCAUCUGACCAAAGUGAAUAAGCAUCCUCCCAUUGUGCACCAGAUACAUAUUAUAGUCCUUUGCAUCCAUAGCUGUUUUCAGUCUUUCCAGAACACCAUCCUGCCAAGGGGCAAGCCCUGACUUUUCUAUGGCUUCAUGAAAUUCCUGCUGCUUCUGGUCUUCCUGUGUUUCCUUCCCUUUGGCAGCGCUCUUUUCUACCAUGUUGUUGCUGCUGGAAAUCUGUUCUUUCUCUGGGCCAUCCCUGCUCUUGCUCUCACUGCUCACUGAUGAGCUCGUUAAAGCAGAGGCCGCAUGCUCUUUGCUGAACAUAUUUUCCCACUUGUCAAACUUGGCUAGGUCCAUCCCUUCUCUGGUUUUGGCUAAUACCUCUCGUUCUUCUUGACUCAGCUCUGCCACCUCUCCGUUGGUGGUUGUUACCAAACCAGCAUCUGCCCCACCCACCGCUCCUUCCAUUUCCUUCCAACUGGCUUCACCAUUCAUGGUAGGUUCCUCUUCCAUGGGUUCUCUAGUUUCUGGGAAAAGUUCUACCAUUUUCAGAGAUCUAAAGAGGACCUUCUGGUCUUGGAGGGCCAGGGCUGUGUCCAAGCACUCCUCAUUGGGGGUCUCUUUCAUGAUGUUCUCGUGAAGGGCUGUUUCAGAGUCCAAGUUUGGCCAGCGGUUCCACUCCAUGGAGCAGCAGACCACGCUGGCGGGGCACACUUGCAGGUGCUUGGCCAGCUUGUGACGGGAAAUGGAAAGGGGGCAGCCAUAUUCGGAGUUGAGGCACGGAACCUGCUCCAAAGGGCACAGGAGCUCGUGCUCUGCCUCUUUGCACAUGUGGAAGGUAGCACCGCAGGACAGGUGGCAGUUUAUCACCAGGCAGGAGACACCAGGCUCCAUAGGCAUGUGGCAGUGACGGUUGAAGCAUCUGUCACAGUGCCCGUGCUGCCCUCGUGGAGGCCUGCGCGCCCUACGCUGGAGACACCAAAGGCAAGGGGAAAGAGAAAACAAAUGACUGCUGGAAGAGAAGCUCUAUGCAUGUCUUUUCUUCUAGGUUCUGCUCUAGCAACUAUGGUUCGGCAAAAAGCCAAUAUAUAUCAUCAGACCAAAAGGAUAAAUCUGCCAGAUGUAAAUCUUACAGGCUAAAUGAAGCCAGACCUAGACCUGUGAAAGAGGAAACAAGAAGACUGCGCAGGUUCCAUGCCUUUGCAUUUCAGGGAAUACAAAUGUGGCAGGGAAGAUUUUUAAGGUUAAAAAUCUGCACUAUAGGGACUUCCCUGGUGGCACAGUGGUUAAGAAUCCUCCUGCCAAUGCAGUGGACACGGGUUUGAGCCCUGGUCCAGGAAGGUCCCACAUGCCGCAGAGCAACUAAGCCCGUGCGUCACAACUACUGAGCCUGUGCUCUAGGGCUCGCGAGCCACAACUACUGAAGCCCGCGUGACUAGAGCCUAUGCUCUGCAACAAGAGAAGCCACCGCAAUGAGAAGCCCGCGCACCGCAACAAAGAGUAGCCCCUGCUCGCCGCAACUAGAGAAAGCCUGCCAGCAGCAAUGAAGACCCAACACAACCAAAAAUAAAUAAAUUUAUUUAUUUAAUAAAUAAAUAAAUAAAAAGGAAGGUUUCAAUUGAGACUUGUCUCCUCUCGCGACUGACUCUGGGUGUUGAUACAACCCGAGGGAAGUUGCUGUGAUGGUGUGAGUGGUGAACGACCUGAUGAAGGGCAUAAACGGAACAGAAGUGCUGGGACCCAUGCAAUGUGUGUAGGCUGUGAAAGGAGCUCUGACUGGAAUAUCAGCAGAGGGUGGGAACGCCCCAGGAGGGAUACAGGAAUGAUUUCUGAGGCCCUGAGAGUGAGUAGAGCUAACAGGGCUCCCAGCACUCCAUCAGCCUUCAGUGAAGGAUUGGAUUGGAUGGAGUUGAACAGGACCCUAAAGAAGGCAGCAUUUGAAACACCUGUGAGAGCAAUUUGAGACCUUUAGGAGG